rnacentral:snRNA from 8 species
AUACUUACCUGGCAAGGGAGAUACCGUGAUCAAGAAGGCGGUUCACCCAGGGCGAGGCU